rnacentral:rRNA from 1 species
GACGAACGCUGGCGGCGUGCCUAACACAUGCAAGUCGAACGGGGUACCUUCGGGUACUUAGUGGCGAACGGGUGAGUAACGCGUGAGGAACCUACCUUCCAGUGGGGGACAACAGUUGGAAACGACUGCUAAUACCGCAUAACACAACGAGACCGCAUGAUCUUGUUGUCAAAGCUUUAUGUGCUGGAAGAUGGCCUCGCGUCUGAUUAGCUAGUUGGUGGGGUAACGGCCUACCAAGGCGACGAUCAGUAGCCGGACUGAGAGGUUGAACGGCCACAUUGGGACUGAGAUACGGCCCAGACUCCUACGGGAGGCAGCAGUGGGGAAUAUUGGGCAAUGGGGGAAACCCUGACCCAGCAACGCCGCGUGAAGGAAGAAGGCCUUCGGGUUGU